UUGAUUUUGAGUGAAGAAGGCCAGGGGUCAGGGUCCGUCUGGGAGAAUUUCCUGCCUGUUUCUGUCAAGGCGUCUCCACAAGAUGCUUCUUUCUUGGCCGUCUUGAAAAGUUUCCUGGGAUCACCCGCAUGUGGGAGCCACCCAUACCUCUAGGGGCAAGGCUCCCCUUUUUCUCUACAUGGCUUAACUGAGGGUAGAGCUCAAUAGCUCUGUGUGGACCUCUGUGUGCUGCGAUGGCUUCUGAAGAUCUUUUCUGCGUCAGUUCCUAAUGAAGAGUUCUGUGUGGAAUAUGAAAUGGAGAAAGCUAAGGAUGGCUGACUGGUUGCUGCCCCAUUGCUGACAGGAAGACAGUAGAUAGAACAGCCACUGCUUUCCCUGUGAGCCAUCUUUGUUUCUGGGGGAGAGACACGUAUCCCAGCACGGAAUCACGAGAUCACCUGGAAGCAGUGGACUGGAGGUGUGGCCAUGUGUCCUUAUGCCAGUCUAUGCCAUGUGUGCAGAAGGGAGUUGUGCUGCAUCCUGGCGAGGGCCUUUGAGACCUCUCCUGUGCUAGGCUUUAUGCUUUUCCUCCUACCUGCCAACUGAGUUGAGACCUUGGAAACCAAGUCUGGAAGAUCCUGGUGCUGCCAUGAACACAGGCCUCCCUACUCUCCGGAAUCACACCCUGGACUGUUAUGCGAGUCAGAAAUAAACAUUUAUUAUGUUGA